AUUCCUGCGGGGUCCGGGGCGCGCGCCGCCGGGCCGGGCUCUGGGGAGGGCGGCGAACACCUGAGCCCGGCGCCCGGUUUGCUGAGUGACCUUGAGGAAAUCACUGCCCCUCUCUGGCCGAGCGCAGGCAGGAGAAUGCAGACUCUCUUCCCUCACCCCCGCCCCGUCCCCUGCGAGGGGAGGCUCGGGGCAAGCAGGCGCUUCCGGCUCCGGCAGGGGGUCCCUCGACCGACCUGGAAGGGACGGUCGUUCCCUCCGCCGCGCUGGUGGAGGCUGCCCGCGUCCUGCCCUUUUUCCGCUCCAGUUCCGAACCCCGGCUGGGGGGAGGGAAGAGCGGGCUGACGCCUAGGGCGGGGUCGCCCCGACUCCCCCUGGGUGGUGGCGGGGCCGCGGCCCUGCGGUAGGGCUCCCCCUCGCCGAGCAAACGCUGACCGGGACGGCCGCCCGCGAAAGCCCGCACCUUCCCGAGAGCAGCCGCCCCGAGCGCCCUGUGCGCCCCUGCCCCGAGCUCCUCUAUGUGGAUCGAGUCAUCCCGGCCGCAGCACCCCCGUAAUCCCUGAGCGGCCACAGCCCCCCGCAAUCCCUGAGCGGCCACAGCCAAGAGGCCAAGGGCUGGGCCGGGCUCGGGGCUUAGCGUCGGGAUGUGGAGCGUGAGGCCGCGCUCCGAGGCGGUGAACGUGAAAAAGCUUGAUUUGCAGCCCCCGGACCAGUGAGGAACCUUGACCUUGGGCAGCGGCUUAGUCCCUAGGAACUUCCUUGUGCGGACCUGCCAAGCAGAGUUACUCGCUCCAUCACGCGUGAGAGCUGUGCUGUGACUGGUCUCCCUGAUAACUUGCGGUCUCCGUCUUAAUCUCUCAUCUCACAGGAAUCAGGCCCUGACAAUCCGAGGUAGGUGCAACACUUUCCCAGAGUUUCCAAGGUUCUUCCACGUCCUGCAUCUCCAGGUGGUACCAAUUUUGUGAGUCCUCAGAUACCCCUGCCACACUUUGCCCUCCUGCAGAUCUUCUGAGUGGAAACAGUUGUCCCACCCUCCUAAGAGAGAGAGCUGGGGGCGGAGGGCUAAGAAAGCCAAGCACACUCCUCUGCACACAUCCAGUGGAAGCCUCUGAACAAAGGAAACUUCCAGCUCAACAUUGACUCAGCCCCCCAGCUCCUGAGUUACUUAAGAUGCAGCUCCCAGGGGUCACUGAGGCGACAGAACAAGCAGCCAAAAGUGGAGCUCCAUCCCCACCAGGUAUCUUUGAGAAGUGGCAAGCGUGUCUCCUGCCUGCCUCCUCGCCAGAGACUGGCUCACCUCGUGUUAAGCUUUUCUGCCACCCUCUCAAGAACAGACUCAACUCCUGAUGGUCUUUGGGGGUCUCCCAAGUCUGGCACAACAAGAGCACGGUCUGUUCUUCCAGAGGACCUGGGUUCAAAUCCUAGCACCCACAUGGCAGCUCAGAACUGUCUGUAACUUCAGUUCCAUGGAAUCCAAAACCCUCACACAGACAUACAAAACACCAAUGCACAUGAAAUAAAAAUAAAUAAAUUUUAAAAAAAGAAAAAGAGAAGUGGACUAUUGUUGGGGAUUGAUCUGGUUCUCUAUGUAUACAAAUGCUGAAUU